GCAAUGCCGCGUGCAGGAUGAAGGCCUUCGGGUUGUAAACUGCUUUUGUACGGAACGAAACGGCGAGCUCUAAUACAGUUUGCUAAUGACGGUACCGUAAGAAUAAGCACCGGCUAACUACGUGCCAGCAGCCGCGGUAAUACGUAGGGUGCGAGCGUUAAUCGGAAUUACUGGGCGUAAAGCGUGCGCAGGCGGUGAUGUAAGACAGAUGUGAAAUCCCCGGGCUCAACCUGGGACCUGCAUUUGUGACUGCAUCGCUAGAGUACGGUAGAGGGGGAUGGAAUUCCGCGUGUAGCAGUGAAAUGCGUAGAUAUGCGGAGGAACACCGAUGGCGAAGNCAAUCCCCUGGACCUGUACUGACGCUCAUGCACCAAAGCGUGGGGAGCAAACAGGAUUAAAUACCCUGGUAGUCCAGGCCCUAAACUAUGUCUACUGGUUGAUGCUNCUUCUCUGACUCUCCAAAG
rnacentral:rRNA from 1 species